rnacentral:rRNA from 1 species
UACGUAGGGACCGAGCGUUGUCCGGAAUCAUUGGGCGUAAAGAGCGUGUAGGCGGCUAGGUAGGUCCGUUGUGAAAACUCGAGGCUCAACCUCGAGACGUCGAUGGAAACCAUCUAGCUAGAGUCCGGAAGAGGAGAGUGGAAUUCCUGGUGUAGCGGUGAAAUGCGCAGAUAUCAGGAAGAACACCUAUGGCGAAGGCAGCUCUCUGGGACGGUACUGACGCUGAGACGCGAAAGCGUGGGGAGCGAACAGG